rnacentral:rRNA from 1 species
GUAGGUGGCAAGCGUUGUCCGGAAUUAUUGGGCGUAAAGCGCGCGCAGGCGGUUCUUUAAGUCUGAUGUGAAAGCCCACGGCUCAACCGUGGAGGGUCAUUGGAAACUGGAGAACUUGAGUACAGAAGAGGAAAGCGGAAUUCCACGUGUAGCGGUGAAAUGCGUAGAGAUGUGGAGGAACACCAGUGGCGAAGGCGGCUUUCUGGUCUGUAACUGACGCUGAGGCGCGAAGGCGUGGGGAGCAAACAGGGAUUAGAUACCCUGGUAGUCCACGCCGUAAACGAUGAGUGCUAAGUGUUAGGGGGGUUUCCGCCCCCUUAGUGCUGCAGCUAACGCAUUAAGCACUCCGCCUGGGGAGUACGGCCGCAAGGCUG